rnacentral:rRNA from 1 species
GACGAACGCUGGCGGCGUGCUUAACACAUGCAAGUCGAACGGAAAGGCCCUGCUUUUGUGGGGUGCUCGAGUGGCGAACGGGUGAGUAACACGUGAGUAACCUGCCCUUGACUUUGGGAUAACUUCAGGAAACUGGGGCUAAUACCGGAUAGGAGCUCCUGCUGCAUGUUGGGGGUUGGAAAGUUUCGGCGGUUGGGGAUGGACUCGCGGCUUAUCAGCUUGUUGGUGGGGUAGUGGCUUACCAAGGCUUUGACGGGUAGCCGGCCUGAGAGGGUGACCGGCCACAUUGGGACUGAGAUACGGCCCAGACUCCUACGGGAGGCAGCAGUGGGGAAUAUUGCACAAUGGGCGGAAGCCUGAUGCAGCAACGCAGCGUGCGGGAUGACGGCCUUCGGGUUGUAAACCGCUUUCGCCUGUGACGAAGCGUGAGUGACGGUAAUGGGUAAAGAAGCACCGGCUAACUACGUG